GCGGACUACAAGGGUAUCUAAUCCUGUUUGCUCCCCACGCUUUCGUGCCUCAGUGUCAGUGCUGGUCCAGAGAGCCGCCUUCGCAACUGAUGUUCCUCCCGAUCUCUACGCAUUUCACUGCUACACCGGGAAUUCCACUCUCCUCUACCGCACUCUAGCGAGCCAGUAUCCAUCGCCAUUCCCAGGUUGAGCCCGGGGCUUUCACGACAGACUUAACUCACCACCUACGCACGCUUUACGCCCAGUAAUUCCGAGUAGCGCUUGCACCCUUCGUAUUACCGCGGCGGCUGACAC
rnacentral:misc_RNA from 1 species